CGGGCGACCAUGACCCCGCUGGAGUGCGGGGGGGACCUCCAGCCCCCCGGGGGGUCCCUGACUCUGCUCUGCCGCGGCAAUGGAUUCAAUUUUGGAAGUCACGACAUGUACUGGGUCCGUCAGAGCCCCGGAAAGGCGCUGGAAUGGCUCGCAGGAAUCUACAGCACUGGUGGCAGCACCUACUACGCGCCAUCGGUCAAGGGCCGGUUCACGAUCUCCCGGGACAACGGGCAGAGUUCGGUGACCCUGACCAUGAACAGCCUCAAGGACGAGGAUUCCGGCGUUUAUUUCUGUGCCAGAUGUUACAGCAGUGGUUAUACUACUGCUGGUGCUGGUCUUGCUGGUCUCGGAGAUGAUUCCAGCUAUGGUAGAAUGCUCGAAGUGCUGGGCUCCCCUGACCCAACUCUUGGCCGUUCCUCCAAAGCUUUGAGCUCUGCGCCCCAACCUCAGCACUCGACCCUGGAUCCAAACUUUGGUGUUAAAAACUUUUAA